GAUGAACGCUGGCGGCGUGCCUAAUACAUGCAAGUCGAGCGAAUGGAUUAAGAGCUUGCUCUUAUGAAGUUAGUGGCGGACGGGUGAGUAACACGUGGGUAACCUGCCCAUAAGACUGGGAUAACUCCGGGAAACCGGGGCUAAUACCGGAUAACAUUUUGAACCGCAUGGUUCGAAAUUGAAAGGUGGCUUCGGCUGUCACUUAUGGAUGGACCCGCGUCGCAUUAGCUAGUUGGUGAGGUAACGGCUCACCAAGGCAACGAUGCGUAGCCGACCGGAGAGGGUGAUCGGCCACACUGGGACUGAGACACGGCCCAGACCCCUACGGGAGGCAGCAGUAGGGAAUCUUCCGCAAUGGACGAAAGUCUGACGGAGCAACGCCGCGUGAGUGAUGAAGGCUUACGGGUCGUAAAACUCUGUUGUUAGGGAAGAACAAGUGCUAGUUGAAUAAGCUGGCACCUUGACGGUACCUAACCAGAAAGCCACGGCUAACUACGUGCCAGCCGCCGCAGUAA
rnacentral:rRNA from 1 species